rnacentral:rRNA from 1 species
GUCUACAGCCAUACCACCCUGAACACACCCAAUCUUGCCUGAUCUUAGAAGCUAAGGAGGGUAAGACCUGAUGAGUACUUGGAUGGGAAAAUACAAGAUAAUGAAUUCUCAUCUGUAGUCU